GCUGAUGGAGUAGGAAGUGUUACAAACAGCUGAUCGGAUCGGCAAAGCGUGUUUCUGGAAUAUUUUGUUUUUGUUGCUGCAAGCGCUUUUUAUGCAGUUUUUGCAAAGCUAUAUGUGGAAGGAAACCGUGACCUAGGACAAGCUGAUGGCAUAAAAUAUUUGUGGAGGGGAAUUGGAAGCAGGAAAUCGCUGCACGUCAGCAGCAGAUGGUCUACAACAGCAGAAGACUACAUCAGGUCCCACUCCUGUCAACUAAGACAGCACAGGCUCACCAAAAUUGGAAAUUAGAAGACUGGAAAAACAAUAUGAGCAACAUUCAGAAGGGAAGCACGUUUUCUUUCUGGCUGCUUCUCUGUGGUCUUACCAGGAACUAACUCAUCCUUAUUCUAGAAAGUGAACCACAACAUGUGGCAACAGAGCCC
ensembl:lncRNA